GGGGAUUUAGCUCAGUGGUAGAGCGCUUGUCUAGCAAGCACAAGGCCCUGGGUUUAGUCCCCA
rnacentral:tRNA from 1 species